UGGUGUAUAUUUUAUAGCGCGAAAUUAACGUUCUUUUUUGUCUACCAAACUUUGCAGUGUUUUCACGUGCUGUUGCAACAACUAGUAACAUUAG